rnacentral:rRNA from 1 species
GAAACCAACAGGGAUUGCCUCAGUAGCGGCGAGUGAAGCGGCAAAAGCUCAAAUUUGAAAUCUGGCGUCUUUGGCGUCCGAGUUGUAAUUUGAAGAAGGUAUCUUUGGGCCCGGCUCUUGUCUAUGUUCCUUGGAACAGGACGUCACAGAGGGUGAGAAUCCCCUGCGAUGAGAUGACCCGGGUCUGUGUAAAGUUCCUUCGACGAGUCGAGUUGUUUGGGAAUGCAGCUCUAAGUGGGUGGUAAAUUCCAUCUAAAGCUAAAUAUUGGCGAGAGACCGAUAGCGAACAAGUACAGUGAUGGAAAGAUGAAAAGAACUUUGAAAAGAGAGUGAAAAAGUACGUGAAAUUGUUGAAAGGGAAGGGCUUGAGAUCAGACUUGGUAUUUUGCAUGUUGCUCUCUCGGGGGCGGCCGCUGCGGUUUACCGGGCCAGCAUCGGUUUGGAGCGGCAGGAUAAUGGCGGAGGAAUGUGGCACGGCUUCUGCUGUGUGUUAUAG